CGCUGGCGGCGUGCCUAAUACAUGCAAGUCGAGCGGACAGAAGGGAGCUUGCUCCCGGAUGUUAGCGGCGGACGGGUGAGUAACACGUGGGUAACCUGCCUGUAAGACUGGGAUAACUCCGGGAAACCGGAGCUAAUACCGGAUAGUUCCUUGAACCGCAUGGUUCAAGGAUGAAAGACGGUUUCGGCUGUCACUUACAGAUGGACCCGCGGCGCAUUAGCUAGUUGGUGGGGUAAUGGCUCACCAAGGCGACGAUGCGUAGCCGACCUGAGAGGGUGAUCGGCCACACUGGGACUGAGACACGGCCCAGACUCCUACGGGAGGCAGCAGUAGGGAAUCUUCCGCAAUGGACGAAAGUCUGACGGAGCAACGCCGCGUGAGUGAUGAAGGUUUUCGGAUCGUAAAGCUCUGUUGUUAGGGAAGAACAAGUGCGAGAGUAACUGCUCGCACCUUGACGGUACCUAACCAGAAAGCCACGGCUAACUACGUGCCAGCAGCCGCGGUAAUACGUAGGUGGCAAGCGUUGUCCGGAAUUAUUGGGCGUAAAGGGCUCGCAGGCGGUUUCUUAAGUCUGAUGUGAAAGCCCCCGGCUCAACCGGGGAGGGUCAUUGGAAACUGGGAAACUUGAGUGCAGAAGAGGAGAGUGGAAUUCCACGUGUAGCGGUGAAAUGCGUAGAGAUGUGGAGGAACACCAGUGGCGAAGGCGACUCUCUGGUCUGUAACUGACGCUGAGGAGCGAAAGCGUGGGGAGCGAACAGGAUUAGAUACCCUGGUAGUCCACGCCGUAAACGAUGAGUGCUAAGUGUUAGGGGGUUUCCGCCCCUUAGUGCUGCAGCUAACGCAUUAAGCACUCCGCCUGGGGAGUACGGUCGCAAGACUGAAACUCAAAGGAAUUGACGGGGGCCCGCACAAGCGGUGGAGCAUGUGGUUUAAUUCGAAGCAACGCGAAGAACCUUACCAGGUCUUGACAUCCUCUGACAACCCUAGAGAUAGGGCUUUCCCUUCGGGGACAGAGUGACAGGUGGUGCAUGGUUGUCGUCAGCUCGUGUCGUGAGAUGUUGGGUUAAGUCCCGCAACGAGCGCAACCCUUGAUCUUAGUUGCCAGCAUUUAGUUGGGCACUCUAAGGUGACUGCCGGUGACAAACCGGAGGAAGGUGGGGAUGACGUCAAAUCAUCAUGCCCCUUAUGACCUGGGCUACACACGUGCUACAAUGGACAGAACAAAGGGCUGCGAGACCGCAAGGUUUAGCCAAUCCCAUAAAUCUGUUCUCAGUUCGGAUCGCAGUCUGCAACUCGACUGCGUGAAGCUGGAAUCGCUAGUAAUCGCGGAUCAGCAUG
rnacentral:rRNA from 1 species